AUUCAUCUGAAGAGUCCCAAAUAGUACGAAACGUGUAUCCUGGAU
rfam:Schistosoma rodhaini strain Burundi genome assembly, scaffold: SROB_scaffold0001541